UUGAACGCUGGCGGCAUGCCUUACACAUGCAAGUCGAACGGCAGCACGGGUGCUUGCACCUGGUGGCGAGUGGCGAACGGGUGAGUAAUACAUCGGAACAUGUCCUGUAGUGGGGGAUAGCCCGGCGAAAGCCGGAUUAAUACCGCAUACGAUCUACGGAUGAAAGCGGGGGACCUUCGGGCCUCGCGCUAUAGGGUUGGCCGAUGGCUGAUUAGCUAGUUGGUGGGGUAA
rnacentral:rRNA from 1 species